GACGAACGCUGGCGGCGUGCUUAACACAUGCAAGUCGAACGAAGUGGCGAACGGGUGAGUAACGCGUAAUCAACCUGCCCUUCAGAGGGGGACAACAGUUGGAAACGACUGCUAAUACCGCAUACUGAGGGAGGGGCUUGCGGCUGAUUAGCUAGUUGGAGGGGUAACGGACCACAAAGGAGAUGAUCAGUAGCCGGUCUGAGAGGAUGAACGGCCACAUGUGGACUGGGACACGGCCCAGACUCCUACGGGAGGCAGCAGUGGGGAAUCUGCCGCAAUGGACGAAAGUCUGACGGAGCAACGCCGCGUGAGUGAUGACGGCCUUCGGGUUGGAAAGCUCUGUUAAUCGGGACGCGGUACCGGAAUAGAAAGCCACGGCUAACUACGUGCCAGCAGCCGCGGUAAUAC
rnacentral:rRNA from 1 species